rnacentral:misc_RNA from 1 species
GUCACCGGAAUAGUGAAAUAUAACAGGCUAUGCAAAUAGGGGUGUUACAAUUCUCCGCCCCUUAAAAUAAAUUUUACCUCGAAAUUUUACCUGGUAUCAAUUUCUGAACAGCUGUGGGUGUUGUCUCCUCAUGUCCUCCUCUCGUUCCCAAGUAGCUUCUUGGCCCGAAUGAUGGUUCCACAGCACUUUUACCAAUGGUAUCUGCUUAUUCCGUAGCUGCUUCACCUCAUAAGCCAGAAUCUUUAUGGGUUCUUCUUCAUAUGUGAGGUCUGGAUUCACUUCUAUUUCUUCUACUGGU